UGCAGGUGGAAUGAGGUUUUAAAUAGAUGGCAUUCACUAGCAUAUAAAAACUUCUUACCUCUAACUGUUUUGCCUUAUUUUUUAACUUGGUGUAGGUGAAGACUCAGAUAAAAGGCUGGGAACUCUUAACAUAGCAUCUUGUCCUCAUUUAAAAAUCAGAUUUCUCUAUUGAGCCCCUGCACAAGAAAUUUAGAAGAAUGGGCUCCUAAAAACAAGUGCUAGCAAGUCGCAUAAAAGUUAAACUGGACAGAUAAAUAUUCUCAGUCUAAAACUCCCUGGGGCCUGCAUGCCUUAGGAAGACAUCCUUACCCGAGAUCCAUAACUUGGAGUCCUUCCCUAGCCUUCUCAUUUUUGCAUGAGUUCUCAAGUUGUUGGUGGACCACUCUGUUAAAGGGGACUCUAGCUGUUGCCAAUACCAACAUUAUUUCAAAUUAAGUAUUGGCUAAUGUGUUUUGCAUGCAACCUGAUCCAACUAGAUCAAGCUUUGGCUGUAUGAAUUUGAAGAGAGUUUUUUGAGUUAUAUUUAACGCCCACGGAAGACAAAGUCAGACUUUCCAUUCACUUUAAAGGUCAUCAAAUAGAGUCUGGGCUCCAGAGAGAUGUGAAUUGUUGAUCUUCAGGCACUUAAUGAUGUUUCAAGUCUUGGAGAGACUGUUCCACCUAGGUUCCUGGGUGUUUUCAAGUCCUUGUUGGACUGGUUAUAUUUCAUUUUAUGAUGAAUAUGAAACUGCUUUUUGUGCUGUUUAAUGUUGAUCUUAAAGUAUUUUUUUUAAUUACACAGCUAAAUUAAUUUGUGGUGAAAAAUUUUCUUAAAGACUUCAUAACUAGAUGCUAAUAAAUUAAUUCUGUUCUCUCUAUAUCAACCUUUCUCUUUCCUAAACUAAAUUGAGAAUGCUAGAAUAGACAAAAAAAUAACUAAAAGAGAACUAUUAAUAUGAGAGUGUUUAUCUGUACACAAUUUUAAUUACUUUUUUGAACACUUUCACCUCAGAAUAAAGUAUUGAUGCAGCAUUCAUGAGAAGAGAAUAAAGAGGAAAGUGGAAUUCAAUGCUUUGUGUUCUGAAAUAGUGACAAAUUAGCUUUGCUUGGUUGCAGCAGAAUUAACAGAUGUUUGAAGUAAAAAAAUCCAGAAGGAUUUUUAAAUCUUUAUGGCAUGUUGUA